rnacentral:rRNA from 1 species
UACGUAGGGUGCAAGCGUUAAUCGGAAUUACUGGGCGUAAAGCGUGCGCAGGCGGUUUGCUAAGAGAGAUGUGAAAUCCCCGGGCUUAACCUGGGAACUGCGUUUCUAACUGGCAGGCUUGAGUGUGGCAGAGGGGGGUGGAAUUCCACGUGUAGCAGUGAAAUGCGUAGAGAUGUGGAGGAACACCGAUGGCGAAGGCAGCCCCCUGGGCUAACACUGACGCUCAAGCACGAAAGCGUGGGGAGCAAACAGG